UUGAUUAUUUAAUAUUUACUCAGACUUCACUAAUAAAUAGAAUUUGGAUAAACCUCUGGCGGGCGCGAGCCGCCCCCCAGCAGAAAACGCUGGGGGCCGGCAUGAGCCGUAUAGCCUACUCAAGGCCCGCCAAAGCAACAAAGGUAAGGUAAACAUGGGGUUGAGAUGCACGAUGAGCGCUGGCCGAGCCCGGAGGACUCGGACAGACACCCACCGCUGGGGGCUAGGCCCCCAAACUCAUUAAUGAUCCUUCCGCAGGUUCACCUACGGAAA
rnacentral:misc_RNA from 1 species